rnacentral:rRNA from 2 species
GGACUACCCGGGUAUCUAAUCCUGUUUGCUCCCCAUGCUUUCGCACCUCAGUGUCAGUAUUAGGCCAGAUGGCUGCCUUCGCCAUCGGUAUUCCUCCAGAUCUCUACGCAUUUCACCGCUACACCUGGAAUUCUACCAUCCUCUCCCAUACUCUAGCCAACCAGUAUCGAAUGCAAUUCCCAAGUUAAGCUCGGGGAUUUCACAUUUGACUUAAUUGGCCACCUACGCGCGCUUUACGCCCAGUAAAUCCGAUUAACGCUUGCACCCUCUGUAUUACCGCGGCGGCUGGCAC